AUUCUGAAAUUAUUAGGCAAGUACUUGCUCAGAAAAGGUUACUAAACAUUGCAUAAAGAGCUAUGACUGUUCUAUGGAGCAACCUAUCCUAAUUACCCAAUGUUUUAUUUGCAUUUUCCCAGGGCUACCUCUAGAUAUGAGUAUUGCUAUUUACAGCAAUUGUUCAUGUGUUAAUGUCUCAAAUCUUAGCAUUUAGAGUUCAUUUCCAUCAAUUUGCCUUGGAGUGAACUGUAGUUUCACAUUUGUGACUUAGUGGAUAUUUGCUCAUUGUACCAGAAUUUAGUGAGCUCUACUGCGUGUUAGACACUGGAAGAAUAAAAGAAUCAACCAAAAGCAAACAACUCUUUCUAGAAACAAUAUAUAGUGUAUCAUCUUCAAAAAUGAAUGUAUGGAAAAUACUACAUGGAUCUUUCUCCCCAUCAGGGAAAUCAUUAAAGAUGAAAGCAGUAAAAUUAGACUGUGAGAAGAAAUGGGACAACAGCAGGCUGCACUCAUAG